GCAAAACGGACAAAAAUACAUGUAUCAGUCUAACCGAGCCCUGUCACUUAAUCAUACAUCUAUACUCAUCUGACCAUUGCGUCAACGGCUCUAUUACCCCAUUUGGGCCACGGGGGGGGCCCUUUUUCUUUUCAGAGCACAAAAACCUCGGAGAUCCGAACGAACUCCCUGCGGAUUUGACAAUUUCUACCUUAUUUGACUAGCUAUAUAGCACUUUCUGGUUGCUAAACUCUGAUCUUGCCAAGGUUAUUGAAGUUUGAGGAGAGCCAAAAAGAAAAGAAAAGAAAAGAAACAUCGCCUCUCCUGGAGGUGCGCGAUGCUGCUGGGUUCUACUGUGUAUGCAGGAGUAGAUAAGACAGUUUGACGGCUGGGGAACUAGCUCUCUAUCCAUGGAUAUCCAGUCGUGUAAUAUGUGCGCCGUGCAUGUGCUUGAAGAAAGUUUAUUUACUGUGAAUCUAUUCUUUGGACAUUUAAUUUCUUUGUCUCUACGCUGAAUGUUGUUGACUGAACUUUUGUUCCUACAUGAUGCAGUGACAGGUAGCCUAGACACUUUUUGCCUGGCAAGGUAACGAGCUAGCUAAGAUUUUUCCCACAAGGAUGGGAGAACGUUUGUUUGAAUGGGGGCAA
rnacentral:sRNA from 2 species